GGGGUAAGAGUGAAGUGUUGUCGGAGGCAGUGAGCAGGACCUUCACCACUAACUAAUUGCAGCCACCAAACAAUUUUAGGCUAUAUUUUAAUGUACAUACAGUUACUUUAAAUCAUACAUUUAUAUAUUCAAGUUGUAGUUGACAUGAUUUAUUAUAAAUAUGGCUGUAAACAGUUGGCAAAGGAUGUCAACUGCCAUUCACCAUCACUGGUUGACUGUAUGGUGCCCUGUGGCCACUAUAUCUAUGCCAUUCAAUGAUCUUCAGGAUUUUUUUAGUUUUAAGCAAUCUAAUGUACAGAGUAUAUAUUUCUUGCUUUAGUGUAUAUUGGGUUGUAACUAAUUGAUAUGAGAUGCUGAUUGCCACAUAGCACUGCCAGCUGACAUUGUGGCAGCCACCACCUCACAUAGACAAUCACAGUACACAGUGUGACAUAUUCCACCACCACAGGCCAAUCAGCAACCAACCAGACCAAUUACCUACCCACUUCCCACGACUCAAGACAUCUUGCAAUCCAUUUUAUACAGACUCACUCAGUAUCCUCGGCCUCCCAGCCAGAGGCAAAACCAUGUCAUGUGGGAAGAUCCAUGUGUGGAAAGAGAAGUCCAAUAAAUGUUGAACAGCGCCUUAAGAGGUCACACAUUAACAAGGGUUUGCUGUAUAAAGUCAAAUCAUGUGCUAAUCAGUUCACACUUCAAUCCUAUAAAUCAGAUCUAACAUUUCUGCACAGGAUGGUUUGUAAACAUGAAACUGGUCAUGACUAUAAGAAAGCACAACGAAUUCAUAACAAUAACCUUUUUGCACAUUUCCAGUGAUACAUAAAUCCUGUGGUACAUCCCUACCUCACUGUGGUCUGAUACAUACAUCAUGAUUCACUAAAAGUUUUAAAAGUGUACAUUGCUAUGAUUUAUUUCAGUACCUCUCAGUAAGGCAAAACCUCUAUUAAAUGCAUGAACUCAUAAAUCACAUUUGAAAUAUAAAAAUAUGAUUGUGCUAGAACCAACUGAUAGUACUGUACAGUAGAUCAGUGCACAACAGUGUGAUGGAACUUAUGAAGAGUUGUCUACAUUGUUUUUCUCGCCUGAUAACACUAACGUAAAGUGAAUUUAGCUUUAGUAAUGAUCACUUAGGCAUACAUAAUGAGGUGUACUUAAUUAUUUUAUUACACUGGAAAUCACAGGCAAGAUAUUCAGAAUUCAUGUUCUCGGCCAUUUUGUUGAAAGAGGAACCCCUGCAGGUCACCAUAGGUCACACACGGCAUUUCGUAAUGACAAUACAAAUGUACUGUACAGGUUGUAUCUUAACAACUUCCACUUAGUACCUGUACCAGCCAACUACUACAUGCUAUUCACUCUUUCACUUCUUAUUAUUAACUUGUAAUACAAAAUUAACAACUCUUUAUUUAUUUAGUGUGACUUAUGAUGAAACCUAUGGUAUAUGCACAAUACUAAAUAUUUCUCAUAAAUAAUUACAAAAUGAUACCAAAAUUGGCUUUUAGUGGCUAUUUAAAUUAUCUUCACAUACAGUACAGUAGCAAAAUGCUAAAUGACCUAUGAAAUUUCAUACCUAAUCUCACAAUCCACUUACUAAUCUAGUUAUUUACACAUCAGUUAUACCAAAGACACUAUCAAUAACUAUAUCAGUUAAUCUUUAUCAAAUACCUAUUUUAGUGAUAUAUAUCUAAUCAUUCAGAAGGAAACAUUCUGAGCACUUAAGUAUGUUUGGCUUGCUUGACUUUUAGUGUUUGUUAUUCACAUUACAUACAUACAUACAUAUAUACAUAUAUAUAUACUGUAUAUAUGUAUAUAUAUACAAUACAAAAAUGGUUGUUCUAAAAGGGAUACAGCAGUAGCCAAAUAAAUGCUGAGAUAUGACACUGGAGCAUCUUGCAUGAUAAGGCCGGCUACUUGGUGAGGUACCGAGCUGGUUUGCUAAAUUGACUCAAGUUUCCCCCCUCAAGAUAUAUAACAAAAAGUCAUAUAAUUUUCAAGUUUAGAAACUGAUUCACCAGGAAAUGAUUUACAAAAUUAUGUCAUGUUUCAAGAAGCUAAAAACAAGGCUUAAAUAAAACACUUCUUUUUUUUUAAGAACUUAAUUUCAGUCUUGGCUCUAUAAUGUCUGUGAUUACUUCAUUGGGUUGAGAUGCUGCAUAACAAUCAAAUAGUAUUUACUGUACAGUAUUCUCCUUAAAAUCAUAUAAAACUAUAUAUCUCAGGAAAGUUGCUUAUACAGGAUAAUUUUUUUUUUAUUCUAGAACCCUAAAUGAUCACAGUACUAUAUUUUAUAACUUGCAAUGAACAGGAACCUAAAAAUCCAUAUGAAUAAAGUCUGAUAUCAUUGGAAAGAACAUUCAUAUUUUUCACAGUGAUCAGGCUUUACUCCUACUGAUUUUAAGGUUCCUGUUUAUUGCAUGUCCUAAAAUAUAGUAAUCAAUCAGGGUUCUCAAGU